UACGAAGGGGGCUAGCGUUGCUCGGAAUCACUGGGCGUAAAGCGCACGUAGGCGGCUUCCUAAGUCGGUGGUGAAAUCCUGGAGCUCAACUCCAGAACUGCCUCCGAUACUGCGGGUCUCGAGUCCGGGAGAGGUGAGUGGAAUUCCUAGUGUAGAGGUGAAAUUCGUAGAUAUUAGGAAGAACACCAGUGGCGAAGGCGGCUCACUGGCCCGGUACUGACGCUGAGGCGCGAAAGCGUGGGGAGCAAACAGG
rnacentral:rRNA from 1 species